CGCACAUUGCGCCCCUUGGUAUUCCGGGGGGCAUACCUAUUCGAGCGUCGUUAACACCCUUCAAGCUCCGCUUGGUGAUGGGGGCCGCUUCUCGAGGCGCCCCCGAAAGACAUCGGCGGUCCGGCGCGGAUCCGGACGUAGUAAUUGUUUUCCCGUUCAGGGGAAGCGUUUGCGGGCCGCUUAAACCAUCGUUCAAGAAUUGACCUCGGAUUAGGUAGGGAUACCCGCUGAACUUAA
rnacentral:misc_RNA from 1 species